GACGAACGCUGGCGGCGUGCUUAACACAUGCAAGUCGAACGGUAAGGCCCUUCGGGGUACACGAGUGGCGAACGGGUGAGUAACACGUGGGUGAUCUGCCCUGCACUUUGGGAUAAGCCUGGGAAACUGGGUCUAAUACCGAAUAGGACUCCGGACUGCAUGGUCUGGGGUGGAAAGCUUUUGCGGUGUGGGAUGGGCCCGCGGCCUAUCAGCUUGUUGGUGGGGUGAUGGCCUACCAAGGCGACGACGGGUAGCCGGCCUGGGAGGGUGACCGGCCACACUGGGACUGAGAUACGGCCCAGACUCCUACGGGAGGCAGCAGUGGGGAAUAUUGCACAAUGGGCGCAAGCCUGAUGCAGCGACGCCGCGUGAGGGAUGACGGCCUUCGGGUUGUAAACCUCUUUCAGCACAGACGAAGCGCAAGUGACGGUAUGUGCAGAAGAAGGACCGGCCAACUACGUGCCAGCCGCCGCCGUAA
rnacentral:rRNA from 1 species